GCAUAAGAGUAGAUGUUGCAUGACAUUUGCUUAAAAGAUGCAAUUGCAUCACUACCAGAUGGACCUGCGUUGUAUUAGCUAGUUGGUGAGGUAACGGCUCACCAAGGCAACGAUACAUAGCCGACCUGAGAGGGUGAUCGGCCACACUGGGACUGAGACACGGCCCAGACUCCUACGGGAGGCAGCAGUAGGGAAUCUUCGGCAAUGGACGGAAGUCUGACCGAGCAACGCCGCGUGAGUGAAGAAGGUUUUCGGAUCGUAAAGCUCUGUUGUAAGAGAAGAACGAGUGUGAGAGUGGAAAGUUCACACUGUGACGGUAUCUUACCAGAAAGGGACGGCUAACUACGUGCCAGCAGCCGCGGUAAUACGUAGGUCCCGAGCGUUGUCCGGAUUUAUUGGGCGUAAAGCGAGCGCAGGCGGUUAGAUAAGUCUGAAGUUAAAGGCUGUGGCUUAACCAUAGUACGCUUUGGAAACUGUUUAACUUGAGUGCAAGAGGGGAGAGUGGAAUUCCAUGUGUAGCGGUGAAAUGCGUAGAUAUAUGGAGGACACCGGUGGCGAAAGCGGCUCUCUGGCUUGU
rnacentral:rRNA from 1 species